rnacentral:rRNA from 1 species
AGAGUUUGAUCCUGGCUCAGAAUGAACGCUGGCGGCGUGCUUAACACAUGUUUGUCGUGCGCGAAGGCGGCUUCGGCUGCCGGAGAGCGGCGAACGGGUGAGUAACACGUGGGUAAUCUGCCUGGGAGUGGGGGAUAACCUGGGGAAACCCGGGCUAACACCGCAUACGAUGCCGGGUCUAAGGAUCUGGUCUGAAAGCUGGCCUCUGCUUGCAAGCUAGCGCUCCCAGAGGAGCCCGCGGCUGAUUAGCUGGUUGGUGGGGUAAUGGCCUACCAAGGCGACGAUCAGUAGCCGGCCUGAGAGGGUGAUCGGCCACACUGGAACUGAGACACGGUCCAGACUCCUACGGGAGGCAGCAGUGGGGAAUAUUGGACAAUGGGCGCAAGCCUGAUCCAGCAACGCCGCGUGGAGGACGAAGGUCUUCGGAUCGUAAACUCCUGUCAGACGGGACGAAGGUCUGGGGGUGAAUAACUCUCAGGCUUGACGGUACUGUCAGAGGAAGCCCCGGCUAACUCCGUGCCAGCAGCCGCGGUAAUACGGAGGGGGCGAGCGUUAUUCGGAAUUAUUGGGCGUAAAGGGCGCGUAGGCGGCUUGAUAAGUCAAAGGUGAAAUCCCUCGGCUCAACUGAGGAACUGCCUUUGAAACUGUCUGGCUUGAGGCCGGGAGGGGGUAGCGGAAUUCCCAGUGUAGCGGUGAAAUGCGUAGAUAUUGGGAGGAACACCGGUGGCGAAAGCGGCUACCUGGACCGGUUCUGACGCUGAUGCGCGAAAGCGUGGGUAGCAAACAGGAUUAUAUACCCUGGUAGUCCACGCUGUAAACGAUGGGUGCUCGGUGUCGCGGGGUAUCGACCCCUGCGUGCCUUAGCUAACGCGUGAAGCACCCCGCCUGGGAAGUACGGUCGCAAGGCUUAAACUCAAAGGAAUUGACGGGGGCCCGCACAAGCGUUGGAGCAUGUGGUUUAAGUCUAUGCAACGCGAAGAAACCUUACCUUGAGCUUGAACCUGUGGUGGUAACGUCUCUGGAAAACAGGACUUCCCCUUCUGGGGUCGGCUAAUAGAAGGUGCUGCAUGGACUG